rnacentral:rRNA from 1 species
AUGGGAUCGUCGAGGAGGUCGCGGCUCGCCCGGAGAGCGGCACUAGCCUCGAGGAUCAGGUAUCGCACACCGUUCUAUCACCGUUCUAUCGCUCCGAGAGCGUUCUUUCGCCUGGCGCGCACUCUGGCGCCGACUGAUGUCCUUUCUUCGGCGCAGCUGGUACGCAUGUUAGCCAUGCUCUGCGACAACAACAGACACGCAGACUUCAAGUACCUCCACGUCUUCAAGCGGAUCAACAAGUGCGAGAAAUGGGCGGCCGUCCGACGCACCCUUGCCAAGGCCAAAGAGACGUACAAACUGGACGCGCCGACCGCAGGCGCAUCUGAGGGGCGCCCGGACGGCAACAAAGGAGCCAAGAAGGCGAAAUAUGUCGUGUCGGCUGCUGCGCGCGUGCAAGAGUCCAUCGAACACUGCCUCGCCGACGUCAAGACCAGGGCCGCCGAGCGAGAAGAGAAAACCGAGGCGAGGUGGGCUGUUUUGAUGACGAACAUCGCCGUCAAACUCGACUUGCUCCGGACCAGCGCCGCCGCGAAGCUCAAAGCUCAAGACGCCAAGAAGAGGAACAACGAUCUCACCUUUUUGAUGGGCGGCGCUGACAUGCUCCAGGGCGGCGACGAGAAGCUCAAGGCGUGGUUCUUGGCCAAUCGCGGCCUCAUCCUGGACCAGAUUCCGGCGACGCCGCCGCCGCCGCCCAGCCCGGCGGCUGAUGACGAUGCCUCCGCGACGCCCAGCACCACCGACGACGAUGCCUCUGCUGCGCGGAACAUCUCAGAAGCUGCGACGGAAGCCGCGCCGACUCCUCCUAGCCCGCAUACGCCGCCGCCGCCGCCGUCCGAACUUGAGGUCGUCGCCUGA